rnacentral:lncRNA from 1 species
ACUGCAAGAGGGAGGCUGCUUGGUCCAGAACUUCUCAGUGUAUACCCCAGGGCUGUAUGCCUCAUUGGAGGCUGCAGACAGCUGGCACAAGAGUGGGAGGCACUUCUCUGGGGAUACAUGAGCACGUCCAAGGGCUCAGAAGGGAGAGCCUGGUGUUUGACGCUCCCUGUUGGAAACAGUUUACUGACCUUCCUUCCCCAGCUUACACGGACAAGGGCAUCUGCCUACGCAGGUGUUAGGAACCGGAUGAGUCUAGCUUGGAAGCCCAGGGACCCCUUGAAACAUCCUCAGCAAUGCACACUGAGUCACCUGUACUCUGUCCAUGGAUGGAGAAAAGGCUUUGUCCUCUGACCUCACCCCAUGUCCACUCUGCCAUGCCACAGCCAUAUCACCCGACUGCAUUUCCUAGUUCUGGGGUCAGCCACUGGUUGACACUGCAACACUGGGAUCCAGUUCCCACAGAAAAGGAGACUCUUACAUAAAAAUGGAAGCAGUUUCUACCCCGGUGAUGUGCAAAUUUUGACAGGACACACCAGGAACAUGGAAAGAAAAUAACACGAUUCCUUCAAAAGCUCAUAACUCUUCAGUAAAUGAAUCCAAAAAUAUCAAUGUGGAUGGAAUUCUGAACAAAGAACUUAAAGUUUGUUUUUUAAGUCAUCAAUGGAUUCAAACAAACAGAUGAAUGAGUUAAGAAAGAUAAUUCAGCAAAAAAGAUGAAGAUUCUGAAAAAUAUCAAAACAGAGCUUGGAAAAGAUCUGUUCACCAAGUCACGUAAAAAGCUCGGUGGAGGGCUUUGCUGCCUCAGUUUCCUUUUCCUGUCACUGUGAUGAAGUCCUCUGACAGAAACACCCAAGGAAGAAAGAAUUAACAUUGGCCCAUAGCUUCGAGUUACAGUCUGUCAUGAUGGUGAAGUCCCUCAGGAAGCUCCUGGUCACAUGUGUUUAUAGCCAGAGGAGAGCAGGGACAUAUAUGCUAGUGACAGACUAUCUUUCUGUACUUUAGAAGAUGUCCUUCCCAUGGGAUGUUCCUGCCUACAAUUAAGACAUAUCUUCUUCACACAUCAACUAACAUAAUUGAAAUAACCCCCACAUGCCUACCCAGAUGGCCUUUUUCCCAGGGGAUUCUAGAUUUUGUCAAGUUGAAAAUCAACAUUAACCAGCAUAGGAAGAGAUAAAGUAGGAGAAAGAGUGUUAGGUAGUUAAGAAAAUAGAGGAAAAAAUAGUAAGCAGCACAUACAAGAUCCUACCACACAGCUGAAAGACCCAAUCUACAAAUGAUCAGGAUAGACAAGGGAUUAGGUACACAUUCAAGGAAAAAAAAAAACCUAGCCAGUGAAAUAAUAGCACAAAGUUCUCAACUCCAGAAAGGCAUGAAUACCCAGGCACAGAAGCAUUUAGAGCGCUGUGUAGACACACCCAGAAAAGAGCCUCUCCAUAACUUGUUAUUUAAGGUAACAAAGGCGCAGAAGAAGAGUGAACUCUUCAAGGGACUGAGCACCCAGCCACUUGUUAAGGCAAAUCCCUCAAAAUAGCUGUAGAUCCCUCAGCAUAACGGGGACAUGAGCACAUGGCGUAGUGUAUUUCAAAUGAGGAAAGGAAGUAACUGCUAACCUUGGUCACCAAAGCAAAGGUGUCCUUCGGAAUCAGAGGUGAGAGGAGAGUUUCCCAGCUAAGCAUAAGCUAGAGAAAUCCAUAAGCACAAACCAGAAGAUACAUGAACCAGCCCACCACUUAGAAGGCGCUAAAAAUAAACUAAAAAAUAAAUAUAACAGGACAGUAGUGUAUAAGCUUCACCGGAAGAGAAGCAAGGGAGACUUAGGAAAGAAAAACAAGAUUAACUUGCUGAAUCUUUAAACCUUAAGGAAGAAUGAGAAAACAAUCAAUCAAAUAAACAAAAAAAGAAACAAGAAAAAGUAUGAGAAAUGCAUAGAGACACAGACACCUAUUUGCACACACAAGAAUCCCUAACCAGAAGCCAUAAUAUAUGCAAAGAACCUGUGAGGUUAAAAAGAAAAAAGGUCCAACUUAACAUUAUGAGACAAGGAACCCCCAAAGAUUCUGUUAAUCUUUUUAUUAGUUCUAUUCUUUUAGAGAACUCUAAUCAAUACACUGUUCAAUUCACAUAACAGAAUAACUAGUUAACUAAGAAGGAGAGAUGGUGACAGAAGGCAGACCGGAAGCUGGAAGGAAAUGGGACUUAGAAGCAGAACUCAGGAGGCUCCUGUUACUCCAAGGUUGGUCCAUUCUGAACUAAAUACCAAGCUCACCAUGCAGAUGUGUGGUUUGGAUGACCACGUAGCCCUUAGCAUCAAAAUUCAAGUCACUAAAUUGAAGGCAGAUCAAUAAUCCAUAACAUAUUGAUAAUGUAAUAUAUUGAAGCACAUACAUUUAUUUACAUAGUGAAUAUAAACUUGCUUGGGAUUUUCACAAAUUAAUACUUUUGAAUAAGAAGAAACAGAAAGCAUUUUGGCAAAUUCAGGAGACUCCUUAAUAAUGUUGGGUGUCUGGCAUGAAACUACACUCAAACUUUGGACACUGUAAAAAUUAUUUACCCUUAGUAAAAUACAAUAUCCUGUCUGGAGGCCCGGGAGGAAGAGAGUCCUUUAAAAGAAGCUUACAAAAAUCUUUUAAAAGUGUUCUUGGACACAAAGAAGGCAACAGUUGACUGUAUCAAGUAUGAACUUGGGAGAAACACAGGGAUUAUGUUUCACUUAAAAUACACAUGAAGUUCAGAAGUCACAGGAAAGCUAGAAAAAGUCCAGGAAGGGAGAGGGAUUUGGUUUGGCUAAGCCAAAAUCGUUGAAAGUUAAAUGGUGACAUUUGACACAGUCAAGAUGUCACCUUAUUUGUUAUUCUCCCCUAGAAAUAAACCCUUCAUGUUCAACACAAGAGGCCCUGUUCUCCGGUUUACCCCAAGUACUCAACCGCUCUGAUUGUUGGAGGUUUCCAGGCAGCACAAAGUGACUAGGAAAACUCUGCAGGCCUGUGCAAAGUGGCCCUGGCAAUCAGCAGCCCCUCAGAAGCAUUUUAACAGAGCCUUGGAUAGCUGAUGCUUGCCGAAGCUGGUGAAGACAGGUUGGCAGUCACUUAUAUUCCAGCUGGACUUUCACUGUCAAGCUACAAGCUUAGAGUUUAGGUCUAAAGAGGUACAGGUGAAGCCAAAGAAAUGAAUGGGGGCCGAGGGCUGUAGGAAUGCAGGAUGGGGAGGAAAAUGUUGAGAGGGGUUAGGAGGAUAAAAAGACAAGUGGAACCGGUGCUCCUUUCCUGACCAAGAAGACAUCCUGAAGGCAAAGGACCACGGGAGAAGAUCUCAUCUAAAUCCCCAUCGUGGUAAGGGGUGGAUCAGCUCCUUCAAGAACAAGUCAGCCAGAUGAAAUAGAUGACAGCCUUCCUGUGACGUGCUGGAGCGUGGCUCUCAUGGUUCCCUCCCUCCACCCUUGCUUGGUUUUGCACAUACAGGUAAUUCUAGUCCAUUCCAGUUGCUAUAACAACCUCUCAAAGUCUUGUACUCAAUGGAAGGACAUUUCUUGAAACUAGAAAGUAUAAAACCAAGUCCCAAGCAGGUCGGGCAUCUGAUUUGUAGAUGGCUUUUUGUUCCUCCCAUACAUGGCUUCUGAAGU